AUUUUACACACACUGCUCAUUUGAUUGAAAUUUUCAAAAAGAGGAGGAAAUUGCAGAAGAAAACUAGAUGAGAUUUUGCAACAAGUUUAUUCAAAGUCAUCUGAUGUAAUGCUUGUCCGCACAGCAGUUCUUCCGGGUCUUUCAGUACUUUUGAGGGAUGGGUCUAAAGAUUUUUUCUGGAUGUGUUUUGAUGUGGAUGUAGAGUCUGACUUCAGUGCAGUAGAUGUUGGCCUGCUGAUUGUCUUGUGUGAAGAUAUCUAAAGGACCUCAAUGUGGAUGCAAUGUGGGCCAUUAUACUGGAAGGAAAAGUGGUUAUGGAUGAUGUCCCUACUUUGGCACACGCAGUAGGUCUGCUUUUUUGCUUUGCUUUACGCACUGAAUUCGGACUACCCAAAGACUACAAGCAACGUAUUUACUCAACGUGUGUUGCUUUCGCUGGGAGGGAAGCUUAAUGUGUUGUUUUUUUUCUGCGAGUGCCUAUAUGCUGCUGUGUUUUAUGUUUAAAGGUUCUGUUAAAGGAUUUUCAAACAUUUUAAAAAACAUUGUUUUGUUUGUUUGCUUUUGCCAUGUUGCUGUUUGCAGUGUUACAUUCAGAAUUGCAGCAUUUUGGUGUUU